ensembl:lncRNA
CUCCUUCAAUUUCACCAAAUAUCUCAAUCAUAUAUCUCAGCUCUCUUUCCAAUAAAACUUUCACUGAAUAUUUUUAAAUCUGUUUUUAUUCUAAGUGCUGGAAAUGGCCACAUGAGCGCAGUGGGAGGAGGGUAAGGUUCUGAUUUUUAAGGCAUACUUUAUUAGCCCAUAAAGGGCCAAAUGACAUACGAUGUGGACAUAGAACAAUCAUUGAAAUCACAGGUUACAUACAUAUGUUGAAAUUACAAAUUUUGUAGGAAUUAAUGUGAAUAGUAUUGAUUUUAAUAUUUCAAUAACUGUUCAACUUAAGAGAAAUCUCUGUGAACAGUGUAGUGUUAGGAAACAGGUGGCUGGGGAUAGUUUUUAAUGAGUCCUUCCUGUGCUCAUCACAAAAUGCCUUCAUAAGCUUAGUUUGGCUUUGUGAUUAAGUUUUUAACAUUUUGCUAGACUUUCAUUCCUCUAGUAUAUUCAUGCGUUGAAAAAAUUCAUAUUCCUUUCUUGAAUCUUUUAACAAGCUAUUCAGUGAUACUAUAACACUAUUUACUUAUUUUUUUCAGAGUGUAUGGUGUACUGCUUUCUAUACUUCCGCCAAAUGUAAAACAAACAAACACAAAAACUUAGAAUCUUGAAAUCUUUAAGUCUUCUCUCAAACAAUCUGGUCACAUUUACAGGAGUGUCCAAAAUGAGAUGACGGAUAAUAUCAGUGCCAGCACUAUGUCAUACAGCAACUUCCUCAUGUUCUUAUUCUUUGACAGUUUCUAGGUCAUUUUCCAUUUCACCAAAAGUUACAAAAGUUUCCACAGCUUCCCUUAGCAAGCUGAAGCUUACUCUUCAUUUGUCAAUGUGCAUAAAAGCUGCUUAUAGCAUAGCAUGGCGUAAGCUAUUUUUUAAGCAAUAAAUGGUGUGAAUCAUCUAUUUUGUCCUGAAAUGCUAUCUGUAGUUAACUGCAUUGCUUAUAAAUGGUCAUAGUAAAUUCAGCAUGAAAGAGAAUAUUACAGAAAAGAC